GCCAGCAUGGUGUAGUUGUUUGAAUGCUGGACUAUGACUCUGGAGACCAGGGUUCAAUUCCCUGCUCAACCA
rnacentral:tRNA from 1 species